rnacentral:lncRNA from 1 species
AGCAGGAUGGGCUGGUCAGUGGGAUAGCCUCUGUGCACAUUUUGUGGCAAGUAGGAGUGACACAUCAUUCCUGGGAGGCCCCGUGGUUCCUGCCAAACCCAACCCCAGAAUUCUCCCUGAGGUGGUUUUACCAAACCCAUAACCCAGAACUGCUAUUGUGGUUUGGGGGUCAGCACCCACCAGUGCCAGGGCACUACUGGGAGGCUGGGACCUGACCAAAGCCCAUGGUGUCUGUGGCCUGAGGACAGGGUGUCUUGGGGCCAUGAGGACAGGCCACCAAUGGCCGUUGGGUCAUAGGGCCUGAGCCCCAGUGUUUGUCCUUCCCUGGCUCCUUCUGGUUCAGUCCCAUCAGGGCUCUGGAUCCCAAGACGCAGCAUCCAAGGUUCCCUCCAGGAAUCCUGGUGGCUCGGCUUACUUUGUCAUGUUUCAUCUGAUAGCAAAAAUAUCAGAUCGGCUGCACAGAAAAAUGGCUCAAAGUGCUUAAUGACCAGAAGAAAUCUGGGAGUAGCAAGAAGAGGUCUCAGGUGCUCUACAAGGGAGUCCCAUUUCAGGUGUGGGGCUGGGUAUGGUCACUCCUGCUGGAUGUCUAGAAGGUGAAAACCAAGGACCUAGGAAAAUACCAGAUACAGCCUUUCCACCGUCAUCCAGAGCAGGACAAACACGCCAGGUGGUGUCAGGAGCCCAGGUCUCCAGCUGGAGGGAAUGUCAACCCUGCAGUGGGAGCCCAUCAUGCAUCCUAGGCACAGAUGCUAACGUAGGCACCGCAGAAGCACUGCUGACUGUUUGGUGGUUGCUGUUAGGGCAGUGAGCCUUUUGUCCAUUCUGAGAUUAGGCUGGUUUCUCCUCUUGGCCCUGGCCUACAGACCAUAAAGGAAAACAGCAAGAGGUCCCCAGCAAACAUCUACAGAUGGCCCUGGACAUCAGCCACAUUCAGAGAAACGUGUCAUGUUCUGGGAGGGCUAAGGCAUCGAGAAUCCCAGUGAAUAUAUUGCCACCAUCUUGGAGCUCAGUGCCCUCAUAGUGUAACAGCACCAGCAGAUCUGCCUGUGCACAGACUUCCUGUACUACCUCACUCCUGAGGGGAGAUGCUUCUGCAGGGCCUGCGACCUGGUGCACAACUUUAGACACCAUCAUCCUGGAGCGGCACUGCACCCUCACUAGCCAGGGUGUUGAUGACUUCCUCAAUGCCAAGGCCACGUUCAAGAUUUUCGACUUCAGUGAUGCGUUUGUGCUGAGCAAGCCGUUUUGCACACCCUGGUCAGAAUGAAACAUUCCUUGGGAACUCGGGCCGUGAGAAGCAUCCUUCCUGAUCACCUGACUGUAGAAACAUCCUUAUCGCACCCUCCCGGGCAAAGGCCCAACAGCCUGACUGCAGGAACAUCCUUGCCAUAUCCUGCCGGGCAGCAAGCUCUACCGCCCACACCCCUCCUUCCCAGUCCCAUGAUCACCCCAGCCUGUGAGAGGCAGUUGGUGCUGGCAGUAAGCUGGUUUCCUCCUCUGCAGGGUUUUGCUAGUAAUAAAGGUGUUGCUGUUGAAGCCGUCA